rfam:Gossypium hirsutum cultivar TM-1 chromosome 8, whole genome shotgun sequence
AACCCAUGAUGAAGGCACCUUCUUAAUAAAUCCUUAUACCUCUCCCAUGCAUCAUAUAAGGUUUUUAAAUCCAUUUUACAAAGGAAGAGAUAUCAUUCCUCAAUUU